rnacentral:miRNA from 1 species
ACCUGGACCCAGCGUAGACAAAG